AUUGAACGCUGGCGGCAGGCCUAACACAUGCAAGUCGAGCGAGCGGCGGACGGGUGAGUAAUGUCUGGGAAACUGCCUGAUGGAGGGGGAUAACUACUGGAAACGGUAGCUAAUACCGCAUACCAUCAGAUGUGCCAAGAUGGGAUUAGCUAGUAGGUGGGGUAAUGGCUCACCUAGGCGACGAUCCCUAGCUGGUCUGAACGGAUAACCAGCCACACUAGAACUGAGAUACGGUCCAGACUCCUACGUGAGGCAGCAGUGGGUAAUAUUGCACAUAGGGCGCAAGCCUGAUGCAGCCAGGCCGCGUGUAUGAAGAAGGCCUUCGGGUUGUAAAGUACUUUCAGCGGGGAGGCGUUACCCGCAGAAGAAGCACCGGGUAACUCCGUGCCAGCGGCCGCGGUAAUAC
rnacentral:rRNA from 1 species